UACGUAGGGUGCAAGCGUUAAUCGGAAUUAUUGGGCGUAAAGGGUGCGCAGGCGGAUAUAUAAGUUAGGUGUGAAAGCCUCAGGCUUAACCUGAGAAUUGCAUCUAAGACUGUAUAUCUAGAGUUUGGCAGAGGGGGGCGGAAUUCCACGUGUAGCAGUGAAAUGCGUAGAUAUGUGGAGGAACACCGAAGGCGAAGGCAACCCCCUGGGCUAAAACUGACGCUCAGGCACGAAAGCGUGGGUAGCAAACAGG
rnacentral:rRNA from 1 species